GGCGUGGUUAUGCUAUGCCGGGCUCACGUUGCACAAAUGUGUCCACCGCUCUGGGAUGGAUGACGACGUAGCUACGUGACUGAGAUAUAACUGAAACAAAAUACUUUCUGAUGCGGUCCGGUGAUCAAUUAAGGAGACUCGUAACUUUUUAAUCUUGAGCCAAGACACGCGUGGAGCGGGAAAGUGGAAAAAACAGACCACUUCAUCCAACAUUCAGCACUGACUGAAUGAAAGUCAAUUCAUUGUUACCACAUGGAACCCAUUCCCUUUGGUUGAACAUAUGAAGACCCUUACCGACUAUUGUAACUGGAAAGAAAAAUAAUUGAUGUGUGACCAAAGUGUGGUGAUGCCAGGAGGUGACAGCGGACUACAUGGCGAGGAGCCUGCAUUGCUGUCAGCCACAGCGAACGGUGGAGAGGUGGAGCAGGAGUUGUCCGGGAAGCAGAACGGCAGGGAAACGUCCAAGCACCUCGGGGGUGAAGAAAGUGGAGUUUCAGGUGAAGAGGUGGGUCAGGAAGAUGAAGAAAUGGCGAGUGGUUCACACGACCUGUGUUCAUCAACCAAUCACAGCCCUGGGAGCGCUUCGGGAUCCACCUCAGUUUCAGCUAAGAGAUGUAGCAGCGAGCAUGCAGAGGCUGGCAAAGGGCAGGACCACAGAGAGGUGAUGAAUGCAGUGGCUGAGAUGAAAAAGAGGCUUCCAUCAGACAAACGCAGCCGCAGCAAAGCCAGCACUGUGGAGGCCUUACAUUACGCGCUCAACUGUGUCAAACAAGUGCAAGCUAAUAGUGAAUACUAUAAAUUGCUCAUGCAAAAUGGGCAGGACGAGCGGAGAAAUGCCACUGUUUGCACCCUGGAAGAGCUGGAGAGAGUCACCUCAGAACACACCCUUAAAAAUACGGAUUCCUUCGUGGUGGUUUUCUCCCUGGCCAGCGGCCGCGUCCUCUACGCGUCUGAGCAGGCUCCCAGCAUCCUGUGCUGCAAGAGGAAGUUUCUGGAGUCCGCCAAAUUUGUGGAGCUGCUCUUCCACCAAGAUGUCAACGUCUUCUAUUCACACACUGCGCAACCCCAUUUGCCACCUUGGAGCAACUCGCACACAGCCGGCGUUUUGUUUGAUUGUGCCCAGGUCAAGUCCUUCUUCUGCCGAAUCAGGGGUGGGAAGGAUCGUGAGGGUGAGAUGCGUUACAACCCAUUUCGGAUAACACCCUACCAGCUGAAGGUGCAGGGAUCUGGGAGCAGUGGGGAGGAGGAGGAGCCGUGCUGCCUGGCACUGGCUGAACGCAUCAUCUCUGGAUAUGAAGCACCUCGGAUUCCCAUGGACAAGCGCAUCUUUACCACAACACACUCCCCUGGUUGUGUGUUUCUGGAAGUUGAUGACAGGGCCGUGCCUUUGCUUGGAUACCUUCCUCAGGAUCUGAUAGGCACGUCGUUGCUGACUUGCAUUCACCCAGAGGACCGCCCCCUCAUGCUAGCCAUGCACCGGAAAGUCUUGAAGCAUGCGGGCCAGCCUCCAUUUGAACAUUCUCCCGUGCGUCUGCACUGUCAGAAUGGAGACUACAUCACCUUGGACACCAGCUGGUCCAGCUUCAUCAACCCAUGGAGCCGGAAGGUGGCCUUCAUCAUUGGGCGCCACAAAGUCAGGACGAGUCCUCUGAAUGAGGAUGUGUUUGCUGCUAAAGCAAAGGAGUUUGUUCCAGUAACUCACGAGGAAAUAAAAGAUCUUCAGGCAAAGAUCUAUAAGCUUUUCCUACAGCCCGUUCACAACAAUGGCUCCAGUGGUUAUGGUAGUUUAGGCAGCAACGGCUCUCACGAGCACUACAUCAGCAUUGCAUCUUCAAGUGACAGCAAUGGCAACGUAUGGGAGGACUCACACCGGGAACCGAUGACUUUACAGCAGAUCUGUGCUGAUGUAAACAGAGUGAAGAGUUGGGGCCAGCAGGCUUAUCUGGAUUCCAACCACAAAAUUGCUUUCCUUGGAAAACGUGUCACAGCUCCUCUACCCUCUGCAGCCUCCAAUGCUGAGGUCAGAGAGCACAAAGUGAGCAGGAAGCAAACACACAUUCCCUCCUAUCAGCAAAUCAACUGUGUGGAUAACAUCAUCAGAUAUUUAGAGAGCUGUACAGGUCCAGCCCUCAAGCGGAAGAGUGAAUCUCAUUCCUUGGUUACCUCUUCUUCCUCAUCCUCUACCUCAGAAGAUGACAAGCCUGCAGGAGCCACUGACACAGCUCAGGAGAGUUCAGAUGCAGUCGUGGUGGAGACUGAGGUGUCAGUGAGCCCUCCAACUCCAGCUGUAGUCGGGGCACCUCUUACAGACAUCACCAUGUCUACUAAAGCCAUGAGUGUUGUCUCGGUCACCAGCCAGUGUUCAUACAGCAGUACCAUAGUGCACGUGCCACAGCCUGAGUCAGAAGCCACAGCACUGGAGGAUGCCCCGAUGGGCAGUGAGCCUGCUGAUCCUGCCCCAACCCCUGUCCGUCCAGCUCCAAGCCCUGCCGCAGAGGAAAGAAGGUUUGUUGGUCUCACCAAGGAGGUGCUGUCAGCUCACACCCAGAAGGAGGAGCAAGAAUAUGUGGAUCGAUUCCGCCAUCGCAUCCUUCAGAGCCCUUACAGCUCAUAUCUGCAGCUGGACAACAGCUCUUUGGCUCACUCCCACCACCCAGGAGACUACCUGCGUCCACUGAGUGCCGGAGGUUGGAAUCGUUCUCGAAAAGGGAAGCCAAGACACAAGCGUCCCAAACCCCAGGGUUCGUCAGACAGCUAUGCCUCCCCUCCUGAACCCGCUCGCCGUGUCCCUGACUCCUCAUGGCCCUCCUCAGAGUCCUCCCACCCCCAGGUGGGAGCACCCUACAGCCAAACAUCUCCAGUCCAGGUGCCAUUCUUUCCUGUAAUGGGGAAGCCUGGCCCAGAGCAAUCACCCAGGACACAACAGCUGCCUGGAGCAGCUCCUACGGGGCUCCAGCCUCCUGACCAGCUCAGCUACAACUUCAACAUAAUGCAACCUACUCAGAGCCUGCCAGGCAUGCAGCAAAUCCAAAUGGAGACCAUUCAGAAUGUUCAGAAUACCCAAAACUUUCACAACCUGCAACCCAUAGCUCCAACACAGACCUUCAACCCUUCUUUCAUGGCUCCAGUCAUGGCUGUCAUCCUGCCCAACUACCCCACUUUAACCCCAGGUUACCCAUCCAUUUAUCCACAGUCAGCUCAGUCUAUACUUCCCCAAAUACCCAUCACUAUGACAGGGUAUGCCCCUGUCAGUGCACCUUUCCCUCAGCCUCAGUUCCAGGCCCAGCCUGGUCCCCAUUCUCAAACAUCCCCAGGCCUUUUACUUUGCUCACCCAGAGCAAGUUCAUCUGUCGGCGAAGAAGAGGAAGCGGCUGGGCCUACAGCUUUGUUCUCUAGUUCUCGCUCAAGUUCUCCACUGCAGCUCAAUCUGCUGCAGGAAGAACUGCCCAAACCGAGUGAAGGGCAGAGCAGCACCGGGCACAACCACGCCGAGAGCCUCCAUGAACAACAUGCCAAUGAGCGUGAUGUCGCAGGAGAGUCUGGCAACCAUGAUGCCCAGUCAACAUCCAGCGAGCUCCUUGACUUACUGCUUCAGGAGGACGCCAGGUCAGGGACUGGCUCCAAUGCCUCAGGGUCUGGAUCAGGGGAGUCUGGAGGCUCACUGGGGUCUGGAUCUGGCUCCAAUGGAACCUCUACUUCACACACUGGCAGCAGCAACAGCAGUAAAUACUUUGCCAGCAACGAUUCAUCGGACACGUCACGCAAAGCUCGUAAGAGUCUGGAGACCCUGGCAGAGCACAAACACACCUUCGAGAAUCAGUCGGAAAACUCCCUGUGGAGCAUGAUCCAGCACACGCCCGAGCGUGUCAUGAUGACAUACCAGAUCCACACCAGAUAUUUCCAAGCUGUCCCUCCAAUCGAGUCUGGCCAACAGAGAGAGAGUACAUCUUUCAGCGGACCAGAACAAGGUUUUGGCGGAGGACAGGGAGAAGCUUCGAGUGCUUCAGCCCCUCCAGCCCUGGUUCAGCCAAGAGCAGAGAGUGGAGCUGGCUGAAGUCCAUCCAUGGAUCAAACAGCAUGCCAUCCCACAGGAAAUAGACACACCGGGUUGUGUGAGCUGCAGCUCAGGUGCAGGCAUGUCCCACCCCACUCACCCGGCUGCACCUGACAGUUCCUCACCUCUGGAGAGCCCUCAGCACGACCCGAUUGGACUCGUGGUUGACACUUGAGAACUCUGACCAGAAAUCACCCGUCAUCAGGUUUACAGUGUGCCAGCCCUGUCAGGAACCUCAACAACUCUCACCAUGCAUCUCUUUUGACCAGUCUGAAGGAGUGGAUCCCUGUGCUUUAGUGUAAAAUCUAAUAUGUUUAAUAAAGGUAGCAGAGGCUGGACCAGGCCCUAAGGAACAGAGGAGGCGAGAGAUGGGCAUUUUCUUUCACUCUGCUUAAUGUGGCUGUUCUUAUUGGACCAUGAAUAUUACAUUUUUCCUUUUAUGUGUUAAUAGAGCCCCAAAUGAGGGGGGUUUAGGCUGUAUUUAAGACUGUUCAGAUCUAUGAACCAUAUAUGGAAAGUGCCCUGGGAUAAACAUGAGCACUGUGUGUACAUCUGGUCUGUAGAACAGGAGUGACUGGUUGGGAAGAUGAAGAUGGUGCUGGCCCAGAGUAUCAGAACAUACGUCAAACUCUUCUCCAGUAACACUGAGUCCAGGAUGUACAGUAUGUGUACUACAUCAGCUCCUUCGGUGACAUAAUUAAGACAUUGUGAUUUUUGUUUUUUUUUUUUAAAUUAAUUCACCCCCCACCGAGGGACACUAAGAUAAAAACACAUUUGCUGCUUUUCUGUUUUAGGACACCUAGAUUUGAAUAUGGUGUUGUUACUGGAAUUUACACUCUUGUUCCGUAGGCUUGUUUCCUUCAAAGCGUUCUCAUCCCAGGGUAUCAUAUACUGUCGUUCUGGCAAUGCGGACAUAAACACAAGGUGUUCUUUGUGUAACUUGUACAGAGUAAUAAUAUCUGCUUUAGAAGGCUGUGGUUUGUGUCCUAUUUGAAAGCUUUGGAAACCAAAAGGUUCUUGGUCAAGUUUAGGUAAAGAUUGUGCUUUUGGGUUCUCAGGGUUAGCCCUACAUUGCCAUCAAGCAAUCAAGCACGUAUGAUGUCCUGGGAAUAAGAAUGGGCCGUUUUCCGCAUUUUGAUCAUUUCAAAUUGAACUUGGUGCUAGAAGACACAUCUAGCCCGUUACUCAAAACUUCCUGUAGCAAGUCCUUUCUCCACCGACCUACCCUGCCCGGUCAUCGCCCUGUAAUACCUGUAGCUUACCUCUUAAUUGUAAACAAACACAGUGUGGCCCCAAAUUUCCGCUCAUCUUGUGUUUACUAAGUAAAUGAAUUUCCUUCUAUACCCUGCAGCUGUCUGCCUGAUUGGAUGCAUGUUUGUAUGAAAGGGAGACCGGGAAGAACUAACUAGCCUCUUGUAGUUCUGUGAAUGUUUCGUUUCUUCUUCCUGUACUGAAUUUAAAUCACAGGUGAGCUUGUGGAUGUGUAAAAGUGUGCGUGCUGGCCGACUGCGAGCUGCUUCUUUCAAUACACUUGUCCAACAGUGCAAGACAGAACGUGGUUUUCUACCGUUUUUAGAUUGAAAGUAUAUAACAGUAUCAUGUAUUUUAUAGGAAAUGUACACAAAAUGAACUUCACAAAGUGUAUAAAAAGCCAUUUGUCUUGAAUUCAGGGACUGUUUGUGACACAAAGGAAUGAAUAAAUGAGAUAAAACCUAAAUUGCAGUUCGA